rnacentral:rRNA from 1 species
CCUACGGGUGGCAGCAGUAGGGAAUCUUCCACAAUGGGCGAAAGCCUGAUGGAGCAACGCCGCGUGGGUGAAGAAGGUCUUCGGAUCGUAAAACUCUGUUGUUAGAGAAGAAAGUGCGUGAGAGUAACUGUUCACGCUUCGACGGUAUCCAACCAGAAAGUCACGGCUAACUACGUGCCAGCAGCCGCGGUAAUACGUAGGUGGCAAGCGUUAUCCGGAUUUAUUGGGCGUAAAGGGAACGCAGGCGGUUUCUUAAGUCUGAUGUGAAAGCCUUCGGCUUAACCGGAGAAGUGCAUUGGAAACUGGGAGACUUGAUUGCAGAAGAGGACAGUGGAACUCCAUGUGUAGCGGUGAAAUGCGUAGAUAUAUGGAAGAACACCAGUGGCGAAGGCGGCUCUCUGGUCUGUAACUGACGCUGAGGUUCGAAAGCGUGGGUAGCAAACAGGAUUAGAUACCCCUGUAGUC